UUUCCGUAGGUGAACCUGCGGAAGGAUCAUUAAAGAAUUUGCCCCGUCCUCUCGAGGAUGGGCCCUCUUCUAAACCGUGUAUACAUACCUUUGUUGCUUUGGCGGGCCGCCGUCUCGGCGUUGGCUUCGGCUGACUGUGCCCGCCAGAGAACCCCAACUCUUCUGUUUAGUAUUGUCUGAGUACUAUAUAAUAGUUAAAACUUUCAACAACGGAUCUCUUGGUUCUG
rnacentral:misc_RNA from 1 species